UAAAGUAUUGUUUAAAACGGACGUCAUUUGACGUGUUACGGGCUUGAAAAAGAGAAAUAAGAGGUUUAUGGAAAAUUGGAAGAAAUCAUGUGUUCUGAGGUUUGAUUGUAUGUAAAUGAUGUUAUUUUGGCAAUUUGAUCACACGAGUAAGUCCGUAGGAUGUUUUUUAAGGUUGUGUGCAUGUUUGGGUUGGAGCCCUGAGGGCUCGUGUGAGUUUUGGAUAGGUGUUGGGUUCAUUUUGCAUGUUGGGAAUGAGCUUCAGGUGUUGCAGACCUGCAGGCUUCGCAAAUGCGAA
rnacentral:lncRNA from 1 species